rnacentral:misc_RNA from 1 species
AAACCUACUAAGUGAUAACUUUCAAAUUCAGGGAAACCCCGGCAUUCACAAAAAUGGGAAAUCCUGAGCCAAAUCCUGUUUUCUCAAAAUCAAAAGAAAGGUUCAGAAAACGAAAAUAAAGGAUAGGUCCAGAUACUCAAUGGAAGCUGUUUUAACAAACGGGAGCACCAGUAGAUAAAUCUUUCCGCCAAAACACGUCAGAAAGGAUCAAAACCUAUUUAUUGAAUACUAUAUAGAUAUAUAAUAUAUAUAUAUAUUAAAUAUUUUCUUUUUUAUAAAAAAAAAAGAAAAUAAUUAAUAAAGGCCCAAAUCUCUAGCUGUCUUUUUCUAUGUUUCAUAGAAAAAGGAUUGGCGUGAAUUCAUUCGACAUUCAUGAAAAAAUCGGAUUUUUAUUCAUCAAAUCAUUCACCCCAUAGUCCGAUAAGCCUUUUAAAGAACUGAUCAAUCGGACAAGAAUAAAGAUAGAGUCCCCUUCUACAUGUCAAUACCGGCAACAAUGAAAUUUAUAGUAAGAGGAAAAUCCGUUGACUUUUUAAAUCGUGAGGGUUCAAGUCCCUCUAUCCCCAAAUAAACCUAUUUUACUCCUCAAAUCGUUAUCCUACCCUCUCCCUUAUGGUUACAAAUUUCUUUAUUUUUACCAUACCAUUCUUUGACAAACGUAGUUGGGCGUAAAUGACUUUAUCUUCUCCCAUGUGAUUAGAAUACACAUCAUAUUUGAGCAAGGAAUCCCGAUCAAAAUGAAUUUUCAAUCAAUCGCUUUACGAAUACUGAAAUGGUCUUUUUGAAGAUCAAAGAUAUUGAAGUACUUGGAGAAAAAUUCGUAAUCCCCCCCCUUUCCCUUUAAUUGACAAAGACCCCUUCAUCAACUAAAAUAAAAAAAUGCGUAUGGAUUACUAUGCUCGG